CUGGGAGUGGCUAAUGAACUUCCUGCUAUCAGUCACUGGGCUGUGUGCAUCACUGAGCUGCUUGGGAACCGGUUGCACACCACAGCCUGACAUUGCAGCCUUUCCAUUCUUGCCUUGCUGAUGUCCAGAAAGAAGAUGCCAUUAACAAUAGUUCGGAAAUUAGACCAACAACUGAUUCUCACUUCCCUAAAGAAGAAAACCACAUCUGUGCUCUCUGAAGAUGAAAAAUGUAUAAAACAUGGUUCUUGAGGAGUAAGUUGUGGGCACGAUAUGAAGCCAGUCUCUAGCUCUGAUGCUGAAAAUUGUUGUUCUUUUGUGCUGGUGGUGUAUCCAGCUAUCACUUCUGUCCUCCUCACUCUCCUUACCUUCUUGUCUCAUGGAAUUGGUCUGGCCUAUCUACUUCCUGCUGUUUGCCACAAUGAAAUGAAUUCAGGAGAGAAGAUUAUGAAACCAACUUCAAAAGAAAUUUCACCCUCCAUGAGGAUCUUGUAUAAACUCUCAGACCUGUUGAUAAAACAGUAAAGAAAAAACUCCAAGCCUCUAUGGUGAAGGCUUCAGCUUUCUCAUAGCAUAUGAUAAAUACCCUUAUUAUAGUCAACACUUCUUGCCUGUGAUGGCCACUGGCACUAACAUAGACUUGCUCUUGGUCCUAAACAGAAAAAGAAGUCGGACAAGGGCAGAGCGUAUACAUGACUACGUCACUGCAGUGCUCCUUGAAGAGUUACUGCCAACUGCUUUGUUCUUAGCGCUGCACCCAUGGCCAGCCAGUGAGAUGAAUAAUUCUCUGACAAGAUUUAAUUCCUCUACUUAAUAUCCCCCUUUGGAUUGUCUCGUAGUAACUUCAUUUUAAGUGGUGUGAAGAAUGACAAAUAAAACACUUG
rnacentral:lncRNA from 1 species